UCGCCCUGCAGCUGACAGGACGUGCCGGGCGUGGGUAAAGAAAUGUGGCUUUCAGGGACUUUUCUGCCCUCUUGACUGAGGAAAACACGGACUAUAAAGGUGGCAGUGCCUUCCUGUCCCUCUCUCAAGACCUUACAUUAAGGAGGCAGCAAAACACGUUCUUGUUUGUUACUUGUUGCAGGUGGAAAAGGGACAGAAAACGGAUGGAAGUGGCAAUAAAAGUGCUCAUCCAGUUUCUGACAAAAGCAUCUUGAAGUUCCAUUCAACUCUGUAUUGUAAUUCUUUUCAUUUUUUGUGUUUUGUGCUUGUCUAGCUGCUCACUGCUAUGAGGUCCUUGAGCAGUUUUCUUCAUAAUCCUUUCUUCAUUGCAUCUCUGUGCAUUGUCAGCAGGCUUUGUUCCCCACCAUCCUUUUCCAGGUACCUUAAGAAAAGCUGAAUGAAACAAGUCCUUUUAACUUCUGGAACUCCACAGGAGAUGUGCAGCCUUAGAAGACACAGAACAGAACCACAGCCACACACAGAGUUCUGCAUGAGUUGCCUUGCCCAGUAAUUCCUCUGGGCUCUGAGACCCUGGACUAGAUCUGUCAAAGCAGGAGCCAAUAUAGUCUCCCCUUCCUUAGGAGCAAGUGUGCUAAAAAACAGACUCUACUGAAGAGUGCUGUCAUCCCUUGGAUGGAUUUUUGACUUCCAAUUUAAUCCUGCCAUCAAAAUCUGAAUGAUACACAGGACUAGUGGGGAUGGUAUACCAUGAGAAGGCAAGGAUCUUGUCUGAUGUGUCCUAUUGAAAGCAGUCCUUAAGGGCCAAGUCAUCCAAGACUUUUCUCCGGGGUCUUUUUAAGCUUUUUUCUGUGGAGUCACUGGACUUUCCUUUGAGCAAGGAUUCAAGUCAUGGAAUAGAAGAAAUGUGGGAAGUGGGUACCGGGAGAGGCUAAGCUCAGUGGGAAGUUAAGCAUGCUUGCCAGACAUACAAGAGACAACUGCCAAGUUGUUACAAAUCAGUAAAGCAUUGAUUUAGCCCUUAUGUUCCUGUGAACACUAGGUACAAACAUUUUAGCUGGUGUGCUUCUUGCUCUGACAGGUCUUUUGAAUUUUUGAAACAUCUG